UACGUAGGGGGCAAGCGUUGUCCGGAUUUAUUGGGCGUAAAGAGCGUGUAGGCGGCCAUGUAGGUCCGUUGUGAAAACUCGAGGCUCAACCUCGAGACGCCGAUGGAAACCAUAUGGCUAGAGUCCGGAAGAGGAGAGUGGAAUUCCUGGUGUAGCGGUGAAAUGCGCAGAUAUCAGGAAGAACACCCGUGGCUAAGGCGGCUCUCUAGUACGGUACUGACGCUGCGACGCGAAAGCGUGGGGAGCGAACAGG
rnacentral:rRNA from 1 species